CCUAUGAUGGGGAUAACAGUUGGAAACGACUGCUAAUACCGAAUACGCUCAUGAUGAACUUUAUGAGGAAAGGUGGCCUCUGCUUGCAAGCUAUCGCAUAGAGAUGAGUCCGCGUCCCAUUAGCUAGUUGGUGGGGUAACGGCCUACCAAGGCAACGAUGGGUAGCCGAUCUGAGAGGAUGAUCGGCCACACUGGAACUGAAACACGGUCCAG
rnacentral:rRNA from 1 species